rnacentral:lncRNA from 1 species
GUUAUGGCGAAACUGCUUAUCUAACAGCAAACACGAACCUCAUCAACCAAUGCCAACAUCUUCAAAAUAUAUAAAUUUAAGAGGACCAGCAAUGAUCAACAUUAAUUAUUACGUUUCUGUUGUGUUCAAGUCUGAAAAGAGGUUCGUAAGCGCCAUCUGCAUCAAUGAUGAGCGCCAUCUGCAGCUUGUCCUUUCGUCCUUCCGUCGCCAUAUUGCCACGGAACAAGAGUGAUCAGAGAUUACGUUGUAGAUUGAAAUCUCCAAGCAGUAUAAAACCUCAUUGUAUUCUAUUUCAUUUCGAGAAGAAUUUCGGGGUCCGGAUAAAAGCAAAUCGUUUGUAUUAUGUACUUACGUCAAUAAUUUCGUCAGUGCGGCGUUGCUUCGCAACGAGUCGUUGUUAGCGAACAGUUGUCCUUGACGACGAUUGCACUAGACGUCGUAGGGAUUUCUAGGUCGAUUCUGUUUGAGUAAAUUGAUAGUUUGUAAAUUUACGUAUUGAAAAAUGAUAACUUCAAGAUGUAAAAAAGUAUUUUAAAUUUAUCUUUUACCUUGUUAAAUUGGUUAACGCUUGAGGGCGUUGUCAGCGUCCAUCAUGGCGCACAUGAUCUCCUGCCAGCUCAAGUAAAGAAUAAUGAAUCACUGCGCAUGUGCCAGAUAGCUGCAACCAAGCUAUCGUUAGACACGAAAGAGGAAAAAGCGAAAACAACUAUCUGCAAUUAAUAGAUCAUUUGCGCAAGUUUAGUAAUUAGUUUGAACUUAAAAUCAGUCGUAUGAAAAAUAAGCAAAUUGUUUCUAUUAAUUAUAUGCUAAAAUUGUUCAAUGAAAUUAUCUACUUAAUAAGUAUUUCGAUAAAUUUUUGAUCAUACGAAUAUUUAAAAAUUUUAAGUAUCUUUGUUCUGUAUCUGUGUAGAUUAAAAAUAUUUCCAAG